AAGCAUAUUAAUAAGCGGAGGAAAAGAAACCAACAGGGAUUCCCUUAGUAAGUGCGACUGAACCGGGAAGAGCCCAGCGCAUAACCUUGUAGCCCAAAAGGCGCGAGGGGUGUUGCGUUUCAGAGGGUCUAGCACACCGUCCCCGACCAGCCUAAGUCUUACCUGGAAAGGAGCUCUAUGACCAAGGAAGGUGUGAGUCCUGUAUGGCGGUGCCCGUGAGGGAAUCCGUGGGACGGUGGAAAGGACCGCUCUGUAGAGUCGGGUUGCUUAAUACUGCAGCCCAAAGUAGGUGGUAAACUCCAUCUAAGGCUAAAUAUGACCACGAGACCGAUAGCGAACAAGUACCGUGAGGGAAAGUUGAAAAGGACUUUGAAGAGAGAGUUAAAAGUACGUGAAACCGUUAAGAGCCUAAACGGAUGGUACCUUGUAGAUCGAACUGUUGUUUGGAUUCAGCYCGUCGGCACUGAGGUCUCUGGUUGAAUGGCAGUAAAAUGUCAAGUGACCCAAAAUUGGGAGGAUAGGUUGUGUUUGGCUGUAGACACCUUUAGCUAGGUGUCACUUACCUUAUCUCGACACUUUUCCAUUGGGCACGCCUCAUUAUGAUCGGUAGGUGUUGGCGGGCGCAUUUCCCUUCGUAGUAGAUCACCGCGGCCCAUUGCUCUGGGGCAGUGAAAUGACCCAUUUGGAUUGGUAACCACAAUGCCUUUAUCGGAGAGUAGCCUCGCACGUUACCUCGCGUUACUGAGCGUUUAGUGGCGAAACCAUUUGGUGUUCUGACUGCCCUGCGAUGGCGAGAAUAAUAUUGGGAACUCCCUUUGGUAUGUCCUUGUCGGGUGCCAUAUG
rnacentral:rRNA from 1 species